rnacentral:rRNA from 1 species
CAGUAGCCACGGUAAUACGUAGGUGGCAAGCGUUGUCCGGAUUUAUUGGGCGUAAAGCGAGCGCAGGCGGUUAGAUAAGUCUGAAGUUAAAGGCUGUGACUUAACCAUAGUACGCUUUGGAAACUGUUUAACUUGAGUGCAAGAGGGGAGAGUGGAAUUCCAUGUGUAGCGGUGAAAUGCGUAGAUAUAUGGAGGAACACCGGUGGCGAAAGCGGCUCUCUGGCUUGUAACUGACGCUGAGGCUCGAAAGCGUGGGGCGCAAACAGGAUUAGAUACCCCAGUAGUCCCUGUCUCUUAUACA